rnacentral:misc_RNA from 1 species
GAUGAAGAACGUAGCGAAAUGCGAUACGUAAUGUGAAUUGCAGAAUUCAGUGAAUCAUCGAAUCUUUGAACGCAUAUUGCGCUCUCUGGUAUUCCGGAGAGCAUGCUUGUUUGAGUAUCAGUAAACACCUCAACUUCCAUAUCUUUUUUUGAAAUGGGAGUUGGACUUGAGUGAUCCCAACGCUUUUCCUCACCGAAAAGUGGCGGGUUACUUGAAAUGCAGGUGCAGCUGGACUGUUCUCUGAGCUAUAAGCAUAUCUAUUUAGUCUGCCUAAAAAACAGAUUAUUACCUUUGCUGCAGCUAACAUAAAGGAGAUUAGUUCUUGUGCUGACUGAUGCAGGAUUCACAAAGACAGCUUCGGCCGACUUUGUAAACUCGAUCUCAAAUCAAGUAAGACUACCCGCUGAACUUAAGCAUAUCAAUAAGCGGAGGA